rnacentral:lncRNA from 1 species
UUUAACUAGGGGUGUAACAAUAGCAAUGAUAUUUUUCCUCUUUUAUAAGGUGACAAAUGAUUUGUCCAGUGAAAUUGGUUUACAUAUGACUCUACAAUCUAUUUAACUUAUUUGUGGGGUUGCAGUAUUGUGACCGUAGAUAAAUCUGUCAUUGUUUUCAUGAUCGAAUAAGUAGCAUUAGUAUGAAAUUUGAAUAGAGAAGUAAAACAAUACAUUGAUAAUAUUAUGAUGUGAUUAUGCGAUGAUUUGCAUUAAUUCUUAUAAUUAUACUAGUUAAAAUCUUAUUUUAAGUGAUUGGUAUUGCAAUGGCUGCAAGUGUAGAAAUUUCUUGCUGUAAUUUGUUUCACUUGUCUUUUUGGAAGCUUCCCCUUUCAAGAGGUUUACCAUGGCAAUGAAAAUGGAAUGAGACAUUGAAGGGAAGAAACUCAUUUUUGUGAGGAGAUUAGCUAAUUUAAAAGAUAAAGUUAGAAAAUGCGCGGAUACUGUCGUGGUUUAUUUUUUGUUACUUUUUGAUAACAAAAAGAAGUUCAUUGAAAAAAAGUUAGGGACGUAACUUAUUCGAGUUUAUUAAUCAAUUCUCUUGGCUUUUGUGAGACCUUCAUGUUAUCAAUAGCCGGAAGGACUAGAUGUCCUCAAUGCAAGACACAAAAUUCAAAUAUACUUUGUCUUGG